AAAAUGACAAACCCUGUUUCUGUGUCCAACGUUUGACCGUCCGUUUUAUUUGAAAAAAUUAUAAAAAAAAUUAAAAAGACAAGUCACGCAUAAAAUAUUAAUCAUGUUUUAUCAUCUAACAACAAUAAAAAUACGAAUUAUAAAAAAAUUUUAUAUAAGACGGACAAUUAAAGUUGGACACGGAAACCCAUGUUUUGUCUUAUG
rfam:Oryza glaberrima chromosome 2 Oglab02_0339_9, whole genome shotgun sequence.